UACGGAGGGUGCGAGCGUUGUCCGGAAUCACUGGGCGUAAAGAGCGCGCAGGCGGUCGGAUAAGUCGAAUGUGAAAGCCCCCGGCUUAACUGGGGAGGGUCAUUCGAUACUGUUCGACUGGAAGGCAGGAGAGGGAAGCGGAAUUCCCGGUGUAGUGGUGAAAUGCGUAGAUAUCGGGAGGAACACCAGUGGCGAAGGCGGCUUCCUGGCCUGUUCUUGACGCUGAGGCGCGAAAGCUAGGGGAGCAAACGGG
rnacentral:rRNA from 1 species